GUGGGGCACAGUCCUUCGGAGCUGGGAAUGAGUAAUGCCGCUUUUCCUCAGACCAAGACUUCACGAGAUCUACCACAGAACGGUACCUGGGGAGGCCGAGAACAUGGAAGGCAGUGAAGGGAGGAUGGAAAAUCACCACCUUGUUGGCAGGCGUGAGCCAAAGAGCAGACAGGGGUGGCCUGGGAGUAGUCACACUGGCGAAGUGCGACUGUGCCUCUGCUCUUCACACCCUUUCUCGGUGAGUUUCAGAACGGCUGGCCAUCAGGCCGCGGAGAGUGCAGCAGUGUGAAGAAGUUCAUCGUAGGAGAGAGCACGUGUGAGCUUGAGGAAUGACCCGGUCACUGAGAUGAGAUCUGCAGGGCUCUGAGACACCAGUCACAAUCCCCAAGCUCGGCACUGGCUCCAACCAGUUGGUGAUAUGCAAAGGUGCAGAGGGGCCCAGAGGGGCCAGAAACUCAGUCGUCAGGACCAACCCUGAUCCGUCUGAGGGCAUGGCAAACCGGUAGGAUGGGGAGCGCCGUGUUUUCCUAAUGUCCUCAAUUGUUUGAAUAAAACUGACAUAUGACCGUC